rnacentral:rRNA from 1 species
AUUGAACGCUGGCGGCAGGCCUAACACAUGCAAGUCGAACGAGCGGCGGACGGGUGAGUAAUGUAUGGGGAACUGCCCGAUGGAGGGGGAUAACUACUGGAAACGGUGGCUAAUACCGCAUACUAUCGGAUGAACCCAGAUGGGAUUAGCUAGUAGGUGGGGUAAAGGCUCACCUAGGCGACGAUCCCUAGCUGGUCUGAGAGGAUGACCAGCCACACUGGAACUGAGACACGGUCCAGACUCCUACGGGAGGCAGCAGUGGGGAAUAUUGCACAAUGGGCGCAAGCCUGAUGCAGCCAUGCCGCGUGUAUGAAGAAGGCCUUAGGGUUGUAAAGUACUUUCAGCGAGGAGGCGUUACCCGCAGAAGAAGCACCGGCUAACUCCGUGCCAGCAGCCGCGGUAAUAC